rnacentral:rRNA from 1 species
GGAAGAAGGAGGACGGUACCUGACUAAGAAGCCCCGGCUAACUACGUGCCAGCAGCCGCGGUAAUACGUAGGGGGCAAGCGUUAUCCGGAUUUACUGGGUGUAAAGGGAGCGUAGGCGGUUACUUAAGUCAGCGGUCAAAUGGCGGGGCUCAACCCCGUCCAGCCGUUGAAACUGGGUAGCUUGAGUCGGCGAGAAGUACGCGGAAUGCGCGGUGUAGCGGUGAAAUGCAUAGAUAUCGCGCAGAACUCCGAUUGCGAAGGCAGCGUACCGGCGCCGCACUGACGCUGAGGCACGAAAGCGUGGGUAUCGAACAGG